AAUAUGACGAAAAUACAUAUAUGAAAUACAUUUUCGCCAUAUUGUGAUUGUGACAUCUUUACUCUUAACCUCUCGUCUGUAAAAAAUAUUUAAAAAAAAAUCAGCGUUAUCUGUUUGAAAUGACGUCACCUGCGCGCGGGAAGUGAAAUUCAGAUGGACGUACCAAUCGACGCUUGGUACUUUGCACGAAAUGAACGACUGUUUGUUGUUCGUUAUUUAUUAUCUGUCUAUAAUAUGACAUUAGACUUUAAACUCUAGUCUAAUAAACGUCGAUUUUCCCUCCUUUUGGACGCGUUAUAGGUAGCCAUAUUUAAUGUUAUUAAUUCUGAGUGAUAAAAUCAAACAAAAUUCAUUAGAAACUUAAACUUUAUUGUCUUCUUACAACUAUUUCAGUUCUUUAUAUAUCUACGAGUAGGCACCUACUUGGUUUCACAAAUCCAAAUAAAUCUUAUAAGAUGGAGAUUAUUCUUGUAAUAUUUACUUACUAAACAAAUUAAAAUACGUACGUAACUUUUCCUUAUUUUAAGAAAUAGCACAAAAAAGUACAGGCUUUUUUAUGCUAAGCAAUUUUAUAAAAAAUAUAAUUUGCGCUGUACCUCCUCAUACAAUGAUAAUAUUUCAAGGAUAAUAUUAUCUUUGUACAAUACGAAACUAUACAGGGUUAAAUAAAAAAUAUCAGAAAGUUCUCGGUACGUAAUUAUUGUUAUCAUUAAAACUAACAACUUUAGUUCAGUUCUACAACUUUUUUUGAACUCGAUAUUUUGUAACAUAGUAUUUAACAUUUUUGUAACAUUUUUGUUUUCAAUAUUUUACAUAGUUUCUCUCCUUGUAACUACUCUGUAACAUCGGCAACGCCGCGCGAACCACACGUACGUUGACGGUCUCGCCAGAUUCUCUGUGUGGGGUCAC